GGGGAUGUAGCUCAGCGGGAGAGCGCCUGCCUCGCAUGCAGGAAGUCAGGGGUUCGAAUCCCCUCAUCUCCACCA
rnacentral:tRNA from 1 species